UACGAAGGGUGCAAACGUUGCUCGGAAUUAUUGGGCGUAAAGCGCACGUAGGCGGCUUUGCAAGUCGGAUGUGAAAUCCCUCGGCUUAACCAAGGAAGUGCAUCCGAAACUGCAGAGCUUGAGUACUUAAGAGGAUCGCGGAAUUCCCGGUGUAGAGGUGAAAUUCGUAGAUAUCGGGAGGAACACCAGUGGCGAAGGCGGCGACCUGGGCCAAUAUUGACGCUGAGGUGCGAAAGCGUGGGGAGCAAACAGG
rnacentral:rRNA from 1 species